rnacentral:rRNA from 1 species
AUUGAACGCUGGCGGCGUGCUUAACACAUGCAAGUCGAACGGAAAGGCCCUUCGGGGUACUCGAGUGGCGAACGGGUGAGUAACACGUGGGUGAUCUGCCCUGCACUUUGGGAUAAGCCUGGGAAACUGGGUCUAAUACCGAAUAUGACCGCGCUCUUCAUGGGGUGUGGUGGAAAGCUUUUGCGGUGUGGGAUGGGCCCGCGGCCUAUCAGCUUGUUGGUGGGGUAAUGGCCUACCAAGGCGACGACGGGUAGCCGGCCUGGGAGGGUGACCGGCCACACUGGGACUGAGAUACGGCCCAGACUCCUACGGGAGGCAGCAGUGGGGAAUAUUGCACAAUGGGCGCAAGCCUGAUGCAGCGACGCCGCGUGAGGGAUGACGGCCUUCGGGUUGUAAACCUCUUUCAAUAGGGACGAAGCGCAAGUGACGGUACCUAUAGAAGAAGGACCGGCCAACUACGUGCCAGCCGCCGCAGUAACAC